GGUCCUUUGGGCGUGACUUUGAUUGCUUGGAUUACGAUCUGUUAUCCAAUCCAAACCGGUGUCAGCUCAGUGCCUCAUUGCCAACGGCAUGGCGUUUGUGUGUAUGUGCGCGAAGUUUUGUUUGCUGAAGUGCUGUGUAAAAGGCUUUUGCACUAUAAAGUUUGUCCACCAGCUGACCUGCAUCUACGCCAUGCUGUCAGUGUGCUGACAUGCAAGACAUGCAAAAAGAAGAAGGAAGAUGGAGAGGUGAAAAACUCACCCACCAUGAUAUUUCACUCAUCCAUCUAGCUAAUGCCUGAGACACCCUACGUGAGCAUGCUUCCGCAAAACUUCACAAAGCAGUACUACACCUGUGGAAAUGAAGAGGGCAACAGCAUAUGAACCAAGGUCCUUGAGCUUCUGCUGGGAAAGAUUCACCUGUGUAUUGCAAGUUACGGGUGGCAAGCUUUUUCCGGCGAUACGACAUUGAAGCUUGUGAAGGCAGUUAAUCCACAAUUGUGCUUUACAUGAUGUAAGAUGCAGCUGCAAAUAGUGGCACUUCGGAGAAACACAAAAAAAGACUCUGCAAGUGUAACUUGUGCAGGCAAGGAAGGACGUACAUUUGGCUCGAAGCACGCUACACACUACUCAAAGAACGCACUGUCCUUGAACUACAGUGUUACAACAUGUAAAGUUUUUCGAAGGGUAUGAAAGGGUAUGAUAUGAAAUAGUGUACCCUGAUGUCUGCCAGUACAUAUUUUUUUGUGCUAGAUCUAGAAAUAUACACCAAACGAAUUCUUUUCA